GAUCAAGUGUCUUAAGGGCAAUUGGUGGAUGCCUUGGCAUGCACAGGCGAUGAAGGACGUGAUACGCUGCGAUAAGCUACGGGGAGGUGCGAAUACCCUUUGAUCCGUAGAUUUCCGAAUGGGGAAACCCACCUAAGGUACUUGGAAAAUCAGAGCAGCCGGAAGGUCGCAAGGCCGACUUGCUGCUGUGGUUUCCAAGUAUCGAUAAUAGGUAACUUACCCUGAAUACAUAGGGGUAAAGUGGCGAACGCGGGGAACUGAAACAUCUAAGUACCCGUAGGAAAGGACAUCAACCGAGACUCCGGAAGUAGUGGCGAGCGAACCCGGACCAGGCCAGUGGCGAUUGAGAGACAAGCGGAACCUUCUGGAAAGUAGGGCCAUAGUGGGUGACAGCCCCGUACGCGUAAUGCAAUCAAUCGUCCUCGAGUAAGGCGGGACACGUGAAAUCCUGUCUGAAAUUGGGGGACCACCCUCCAAGCCUAAGUACUCGUGCAUGACCGAUAGCGAACUAGUACCGUGAGGGAAAGGUGAAAAGCACCCCGACAAGGGGAGUGAAAGAGUACCUGAAACCGGUUGCCUACAAACAGUGGAAGCCCAAGGUUCGUCCUGGGUGACCACGUACCUUUUGUAUAAUGGGUCAGCGACUUAGUGUGACGAGCAAGCUUAAACCGCUAGGUGUAGGCGCAGCGAAAGCGAGUCUGAAUAGGGCGUUCAGUUCGUCGCAUUAGACCCGAAACCGAGUGAUCUAGCCAUGAGCAGGUUGAAGGUAAGGUAACACUUACUGGAGGACCGAACCCAUAACUGUUGCAAUAGUUCGGGAUGACUUGUGGCUAGGGGUGAAAGGCCAAUCAAACUCGGAAAUAGCUGGUUCUCCGCGAAAUCUAUUUAGGUAGAGCGUCGACCGAAUACCCCAGGGGGUAGAGCACUGGAUGGGCUAGGGGUCCUCACCGGAUUACCAAACCUAACCAAACUCCGAAUACCUGGGAGUACUAGUCGGCAGACACACGGCGGGUGCUAACGUCCGUCGUGAAAAGGGAAACAACCCUGACCUACAGCUAAGGUCCCCAAGUUAUGGCUAAGUGGGAAAGGAUGUGAGGAUCCCAAAACAACCAGGAUGUUGGCUUAGAAGCAGCCAUCAUUUAAAGAAAGCGUAACAGCUCACUGGUCUAAAUAAGGGUCUUUGCGCCGAAAAUGUAACGGGGCUAAAGCCAUACACCGAAGCUUAGGGUUUGGUCCGCAAGGGCCAAGCGGUAGCGGAGCGUUCUGUAAGCUGAUGAAGCCAUACCCGUGAGGGGUGGUGGAGGUAUCAGAAGUGCGAAUGCUGACAUGAGUAACGUAAGGGGAGUGAGAGACUCCCCCGCCGAAAGACCAAGGGUUCCUGCUUAAAGCUAAUCUGAGCAGGGUUAGCCGGCCCCUAAGACGAGGCGGAAACGCGUAGUCGAUGGGAACCACGUUAAUAUUCGUGGGCUUGGAGGUAGUGACGGAUCAUUGAGGUAGUCCAAUCUUAUCGGAUUGAACGGGCUGCUGCGUGGUUCCAGGAAAUAGCUCCUCCUUAUAAACCGUACCCGAAACCGACACUGGUGGUCUGGUAGAGUAUACCAAGGCGCUUGAGAGAACUAUGCUGAAGGAACUCGGCAAAUUGCACGCGUAACUUCGGAAGAAGCGUGACCCUUUUCUACGCAAGUAGAGGAGGGUGGCACAGACCAGGGGGUAGCGACUGUUUAUCAAAAACACAGGGCUCUGCGAAGUCGCAAGACGACGUAUAGGGUCUGACGCCUGCCCGGUGCUGGAAGGUUAAGAGGAGGGGUGCAAGCUCUGAAUCGAAGCCCCAGUAAACGGCGGCCGUAACUAUAACGGUCCUAAGGUAGCGAAAUUCCUUGUCGGGUAAGUUCCGACCUGCACGAAUGGCGUAACGACUUCCCCGCUGUCUCCAGCAUAGACUCAGUGAAAUUGAAUUCCCCGUGAAGAUGCGGGGUUCCUGCGGUUAGACGGAAAGACCCCGUGCACCUUUACUAUAGCUUUACAUUGGCAUUCGUAGUGGCAUGUGUAGGAUAGGUGGUAGGCUUUGAAACCUGGGCGCCAGCUCAGGUGGAGCCACCCUUGAAAUACCACCCUUAUUACUAUGGAUGUCUAACCGCGGCCCGUUAUCCGGGUCCGGGACAAUGUAUGGUGGGUAGUUUGACUGGGGCGGUCGCCUCCUAAAGAGUAACGGAGGCGCGCGAUGGUGGGCUCAGAACGGUCGGAAAUCGUUCGCUGAGUGCAAUGGCAUAAGCCUGCCUGACUGCGAGACUGACAAGUCGAGCAGAGACGAAAGUCGGUCAUAGUGAUCCGGUGGUCCCGCGUGGAAGGGCCAUCGCUCAACGGAUAAAAGGUACGCCGGGGAUAACAGGCUGAUGACCCCCAAGAGUCCAUAUCGACGGGGUUGUUUGGCACCUCGAUGUCGACUCAUCGCAUCCUGGGGCUGGAGCAGGUCCCAAGGGUAUGGCUGUUCGCCAUUUAAAGCGGUACGUGAGUUGGGUUCAGAACGUCGUGAGACAGUUCGGUCCCUAUCUGCCGUGGGUGUAGGAAUAUUGAAAGGAUCUGUCCCUAGUACGAGAGGACCGGGAUGGACGGAUCUCUGGUGGACCUGUUGUGGCGCCAGCCGCAUAGCAGGGUAGCUAUAUCCGGACGGGAUAACCGCUGAAGGCAUCUAAGCGGGAAACCCACCUUAAAACGAGUAUUCCCUGAGAACCGUGGAAGACGACCACGUUGAUAGGCCGGGUGUGGAAGAGCGGCAACGCUUGAAGCUUACCGGUACUAAUAGUUCGAUCGGCUUGAUCGUUCUCAUU
rnacentral:rRNA from 1 species